AUCAGUUUUAACAUACUUUAUUAUGGGGUAUAGAAUAAUUGUAAAGAACUAGUGACAAGAUAUAGAAGCAUCAUUCAUGAAAUUCUUCAAAAUAUUAAAAUUUUAAAACAGGAGAGAUAGGAGUUAAGAAAUCCUUCUAAGUUGUACACAUAGACCAUAUAAAGUUGACUUUUGGGUAAUCUUGCUAACCUAGAGCAGUCCAAAUGAGAAUGAAAGGAAAAUGGCAGGGACAGAAAAAAAAAAGAGGCAUAUACACAUACAUUCUGGAAUCCUCAAAGGAUUAGUAAUUAAGUAAUGAAUAUAACAAAAAAAAGAGAAAAUUACCACAACUACAAAUAUAUCUAAAGUUAAUUCCUAAUGAGAAAAACAGGGUUAACUUACUUGGAUUUGCAAACUCAGAAAUCUAUAUAAAUAUAUUUGAAUGAGAUUUUAUAUUUUAUAUUUGGUUGGGAGAAUUUUAGUUACUAUUUUUUUUCAGUUUCCCAUAACUCAUAGACCCUUUUAAAAAUGCUAGUAGCCUGGAUUAAAAAAUAUAGUUGUACUCAAUAAAUAUCUAAAUUGUGGCAUUUGUUUUAAAUUAAGCAUAAUGUUUCAUGCAUUUUGUUAAUAGUUUAUUUUUAACUUAACAACUUAUAGCUUGUUCCGCAUCAUAAGGAGGCUCAUGGAUUUAAUUGAAAUCAUUGAUUAUAUUUUUAUUUAGUAUUUUUUACAUGAAAUUGAUUUAUUUCUAUGUCAUGCAUUUCAUUAACAUUUACUCUAGUUUAAAAAAAAUAGUUAAGAGUUAUCUUUAACUUCUGGAAAUUGUCCAAGUGUCUGCUGGUAAAAUUAUAAAGACUCAGGGCUUUGAAUAUUUCAUCUUCUUCACUUUUGUCUGUAACUCUGAUGAUAUAAUAAAAAUGUUAAUCUUUCAAAAUGAUUAUAUAUCAGUUUCCCUUUUUAAUAUCAAAUUUCUGAUUGUUCAGAAAAAGUGUUAGCUAUAGAUAGCUAUGAUGAAGCCUAAGGAAAUCAAACAUGAAUUUAAAGGAAAAUACAACCUAAAAUUUGUUUCAAAUAAGUAAAACAGCUUAUUUUGAAAGUAGAGUUGGAUAACUAUAAUUUGUAAAGGAAAAAGUAAAAUCUGUUUUUCAUAGUACACCCUAUAGUUAACUUCAGGUAAAUUAAAUAUAUAACAAUAAUAAAAAAAAUCUAUGAACAGACUGGAAAAAAAACUUUUUGUGAUUUUUUUUAAAGUAUCAAUGUAAAAGGAAUUCAUUAUUUGUUUUUUUUACCAUUUAUAUAAGAAAUAUAUUCUGUAAGAAGGCUAAUGCACAUAAUGACAUUAUACUCAUUAGUAGAUGCUUUAAAUAUUCAAAUGGCUAUUAUUAUACACAAAUAUUUCAAUAUGCCAUAGUAUAAAUCUAAUUUUGCUAUCAUUUCGAUGUCAUGUUUAAGUGAUAUUUCUUUUGUUUUAACAAUUUGAAAUAUAGCUUCUUUUUCUGUCUUUGACUACCUUCUGUAGAAAUUCCCCCAGCUGCCAGUCCAAAUUUCUCACCCAGACUCAGGGACUCUCAUCACCUAUCCAACAGGGUAUUCAGGCUGCCAAGUUGGCAUCAAGUCUCUUAUUAGCUUUAAGAAGACUUGAGACUGAAACUGUCAACACUUCCUCUUUGGCAUCUAUGUGACUGUGAAGAAUGAUCACAUUUUAGUUAAAAGAACCUUGUCUACUGAUAGUUGAAGAAAGCAUGUUCUAUUAAAGAAUAUUUCUAUUUUACAAUGUUCACAAAUAUAAACUUCUCAAUUACUUGUUUUACUCUUUCUGUGGCAACUUAACGUAGGGAUUCUGCAGCAACUAAACAUAAGAGGAAAAAAAUGUAGAUUUUCCAGAGAUGAUUUAAAACUGUAAAGAAUACAUACACAGCCAAUAAAAUUUGAAACCACACAAGCAAAGCAGCAACCAUUAUGAUUUGUGGCAAUUGUUAAACAAAUAUGAAUAAAAAGCUCACAAUUUUCCUAUUUUAAGUACAAGAACUAUAAAAAACAAAUUUGUCUCAAUUUUUUGUUGUCUUAAUCAUCUUAUAUACAGCUUGAAAAUAUUGUCAAAAUUGAUAUGUCCUUUUAAUCAAAUCUGAGAUUAUUAAAUUUAGAGUCUUUAUAGGAUAAUAAAACAUAAUUAAUUAUUACUUUUUAGUAUGCAUUUGUAAUUCCUACUUUCUAAAUGCUAUCACCAGUAAAAUACUAAAUUUUCUCAUCUACUUAAAUGAUACUGUGUAUGUGAAUGACAGUGAAUCAAAUUUUAUUACACAAAAAUGUGCCAAAUUUUUGCAAUUUAUUAAAAGUAUCCCUUGGCAAAUGUCUCAGGGAUCACAUGAUGCUGAAAAUAUACAGUUAUAUAUAAUUCAUUCUUGAACGACUUAGAACUUUCAAAUUGUCCACGCUGAGGCUUCUUAGAAAUAUUCAUAACAUUCAUCCUGUCCUACAAGUGUUUGAACACCAAACUCCUUCUGCACAUUACAUCUAUAAAUAUUUAUUCUGACUCUCAUAUUGGAGUAGAAUUUUAAAACUGCUAUUGUAGUACAUUGAAUAUGAGGUACAAAAAUCUCCUUAUUGUGUACCAAUGGCUGCUACUAAUACAAAUAACAAUCACCUUCAUUUAAGGACAUUUAUUUGAAGAUAAAAAGUUGAAUGAGUCUGUAAACACUUUUCUGCUCUGCAUCAGCUACAAAUUAUGGCUUCCAGUUGAUAUUGCAUAUAUCAUUAUAUACAAAUAUCAUCAGUUCAAGCAUUUUCUUCUUGGGCUAUAAUGGUUUUGUGCAGUUGACAUUUGGGUGAUACUUCUGGAGCCUAAGAGACAUUAGAGGUCUGCAGUCCUAAUUGCUUGUGGAAAAGUUCAAGACAAGCACAAGCCCAAGGCUUCUCUGGCUACAGAGUUAGUUGACUACUAGCCUGCAAAUGUUAGUGACAUGCUACUUCGACAACAAUAUAACAACAACAACAACAACAAUAAAUUAAAAUUAUAUAAAUUUACCACUUUACAAAUUUUAUUGUGGGCAAAAUCAGUCCAUAUCUAGUGAUUAAAUGAACUCUAAUUUCUUAUGAGAUUCUCUUACAGGAUUCUCAUUGUACUAUAAAAGAACUUCUGUCUGAAUCAACUACUGUUUUCAUUGUCUGUGUGCUCCAAAUGAGUUAAUGAUUCAUAUUGUAAUGAUAGGAUGUUACUGUGGUUAG
rnacentral:lncRNA from 1 species